rnacentral:rRNA from 1 species
CAUAUUACCGAAGCUGUGGAUUGUCCUUUGGACAAUGGUAGGAGAGCGUUCUAAGGGCGUUGAAGCAUGAUCGUAAGGACAUGUGGAGCGCUUAGAAGUGAGAAUGCCGGUGUGAGUAGCGAAAGACGGGUGAGAAUCCCGUCCACCGAUUGACUAAGGUUUCCAGAGGAAGGCUCGUCCGCUCUGGGUUAGUCGGGUCCUAAGCUGAGGCCGACAGGCGUAGGCGAUGGAUAACAGGUUGAUAUUCCUGUACCACCUAUAAUCGUUUUAAUCGAUGGGGGGACGCAGUAGGAUAGGCGAAGCGUGCGAUUGGAUUGCACGUCUAAGCAGUAAGGCUGAGUAUUAGGCAAAUCCGGUACUCGUUAAGGCUGAGCUGUGAUGGGGAGAAGACAUUGUGUCUUCGAGUCGUUGAUUUCACACUGCCGAGAAAAGCCUCUAGAUAGAAAAUAGGUGCCCGUACCGCAAACCGACACAGGUAGUCAAGAUGAGAAUUCUAAGGUGAGCGAGCGAACUCUCGUUAAGGAACUCGGCAAAAUGACCCCGUAACUUCGGGAGAAGGGGUGCUCUUUAGGGUUAACGCCCAGAAGAGCCGCAGUGAAUAGGCCCAAGCGACUGUUUAUCAAAAACACAGGUCUCUGCUAAACCGUAAGGUGAUGUAUAGGGGCUGACGCCUGCCCGGUGCUGGAAGGUUAAGAGGAGUGGUUAGCUUCUGCGAAGCUACGAAUCGAAGCCCCAGUAAACGGCGGCCGUAACUAUAACGGUCCUAAGGUAGCGAAAUUCCUUGUCGGGUAAGUUCCGACCCGCACGAAAGGCGUAACGAUUUGGGCACUGUCUCAACGAGAGACUCGGUGAAAUCAUAGUACCUGUGAAGAUGCAGGUUACCCGCGACAGGACGGAAAGACCCCGUGGAGCUUUACUGUAGCCUGAUAUUGAAAUUCGGCACAGCUUGUACAGGAUAGGUAGGAGCCUUUGAAACGUGAGCGCUAGCUUACGUGGAGGCGCUGGUGGGAUACUACCCUAGCUGUGUUGGCUUUCUAACCCGCACCACUUAUCGUGGUGGGAGACAGUGUCAGGCGGGCAGUUUGACUGGGGCGGUCGCCUCCUAAAAGGUAACGGAGGCGCUCAAAGGUUCCCUCAGAAUGGUUGGAAAUCAUUCAUAGAGUGUAAAGGCAUAAGGGAGCUUGACUGCGAGACCUACAAGUCGAGCAGGGUCGAAAGACGGACUUAGUGAUCCGGUGGUUCCGCAUGGAAGGGCCAUCGCUCAACGGAUAAAAGCUACCCCGGGGAUAACAGGCUUAUCUCCCCCAAGAGUUCACAUCGACGGGGAGGUUUGGCACCUCGAUGUCGGCUCAUCGCAUCCUGGGGCUGUAGUCGGUCCCAAGGGUUGGGCUGUUCGCCCAUUAAAGCGGUACGCGAGCUGGGUUCAGAACGUCGUGAGACAGUUCGGUCCCUAUCCGUCGUGGGCGUAGGAAAUUUGAGAGGAGCUGUCCUUAGUACGAGAGGACCGGGAUGGACAUACCUCUGGUGUACCAGUUGUCGUGCCAACGGCAUAGCUGGGUAGCUAUGUGUGGACGGGAUAAGUGCUGAAAGCAUCUAAGCAUGAAGCCCCCCUCAAGAUGAGAUUUCCCAACUUCGGUUAUAAGAUCCCUCAAAGAUGAUGAGGUUAAUAGGUUCGAGGUGGAAGCAUGGUGACAUGUGGAGCUGACGAAUACUAAUCGAUCGAAGACUUAAUCAA